rnacentral:rRNA from 1 species
AUCCUAGCCGUAAACGAUGAUAACUAGGUGUGGGAGGUAUCGACCCCUUCCGCGCCGACGCUAACGCAUUAAGUUAUCCGCCUGGGGAGUACGGCCGCAAGGUUAAAACUCAAAGGAAUUGACGGGGCCCGCACAAGCGGUGGAGCAUGUGGUUUAAUUCGACGCUACGCGAAGAACCUUACCUGGGCUCGAACGACUGGUAGUACCCUAUUUGAAAGGAUGGGGGACCCGCAAGGGAGCCAGCCGAGGUGCUGCAUGGUUGUCGU